rnacentral:rRNA from 1 species
GCUUAAUACAUGCAAGUCGAACGAUGAAGCUUCUAGCUUGCUAGAAGUGGAUUAGUGGCGCACGGGUGAGUAAGGUAUAGUUAAUCUGCCCUACACAAGAGGACAACAGUUGGAAACGACUGCUAAUACUCUAUACUCCUGCUUAACACAAGUUGAGUAGGGAAAGUUUUUCGGUGUAGGAUGAGACUAUAUAGUAUCAGCUAGUUGGUAAGGUAAUGGCUUACCAAGGCUAUGACGCUUAACUGGUCUGAGAGGAUGAUCAGUCACACUGGAACUGAGACACGGUCCAGACUCCUACGGGAGGCAGCAGUAGGGAAUAUUGCGCAAUGGGGGAAACCCUGACGCAGCAACGCCGCGUGGAGGAUGACACUUUUCGGAGCGUAAACUCCUUUUCUUAGGGAAGAAUUCUGACGGUACCUAAGGAAUAAGCACCGGCUAACUCCGUGCCAGCAGCCGCGGUAAUACGGAGGGUGCAAGCGUUACUCGGAAUCACUGGGCGUUUUCGCGCCGCGUAGGCGGAUUAUCAAGUCUCUUGUGAUCUAAUGGCUUAACCAUUAAACUGCUUGGGAAACUGAUAGUCUAGAGUGAGGGAGAGGCAGAUGGAAUUGGUGGUGUAGGGGUAAAAUCCGUAGAUAUCACCAAGAAUACCCAUUGCGAAGGCGAUCUGCUGGAACUCAACUGACGCUAAGGCGCGAAAGCGUGGGGAGCAAACAGGAUAGAUACCCUGGUAGUCCACGCCCUAAACGAUGUACACUAGUUGUUGGGGUGCUAGCCAUCUCAGUAAUGCAGCUAACGCAUUAAGUGUACCGCCUGGGGAGUACGGUCGCAAGAUUAAAACUCAAAGGAAUAGACGGGGACCCGCACAAGCGGUGGAGCAUGUGGUUUAAUUCGAAGAUACGCGAAGAACCUUACCUGGGCUUGAUAUCCUAAGAACCUUAUAGAGAUAUGAGGGUGCUAGCUUGCUAGAACUUAGAGACAGGUGCUGCACGGCUGUCGUCAGCUCGUGUCGUGAGAUGUUGGGUUAAGUCCCGCAACGAGCGCAACCCACGUAUUUAGUUGCUAACGGUUCGGCCGAGCACUCUAAAUAGACUGCCUUCGUAAGGAGGAGGAAGGUGUGGACGACGUCAAGUCAUCAUGGCCCUUAUGCCCAGGGCGACCGUUCCGAAUUACAAUGGCAUAUACAAUGAGACGCAAUACCGAGGUGGAGCAAAUCUAUAAAAUAUGUCCCAGUUCGGAUUGUUCUCUGCAACUCGAGAGCAUGAAGCCGGAAUCGCUAGUAAUCGUAGAUCAGCCAUGCUACGGUGAAUACGGCGCGCUGUCUUGUACUCACCGCCCGUCACACCAUGGGAGUCGAUUUCACUCGAAGCCGGAAUACUAAACUAGUUACCGUCCACAGUGGAAUCAGCGACUGGGGUGAAGUCGUAACAA